GCCGGUGUGGCGGAAUUGGUAGACGCACCGCACUCAAAAUGCGGCGGAGCGAUCCGUGCCGGUUCGAGUCCGGCCACCGGUACCA
rnacentral:tRNA from 1 species